rnacentral:rRNA from 1 species
CAAAUCGCGACGCGGGGUGUGAGGACUUCCCUUUCCGCGAUAGCUUCUUCUGACCACCAACGCAUCUCGCCCGCCGCGCCCAUGAUUUCCUCCUCCGCCUCCCCCAGGGAGGAGGAGGGCGGCGGCCCCCGUUUGCCCUCGCCCCGCGGCAAGAAAAGGAGAAUGCGAGGCAGAACGGCCUCGCCGGAGCCGGCUUCCACGGCCGAGCCGCCGCAGACAUAUGGAAAGUGGCAUCCGGAUGAAUCGAACAGACCUGAAAUUGAUGAUGCCCCUGUUUUUACCCCAACUGAGGAGGAAUUCAAAGAUGCAAUUGGGUACAUUGCUAGCAUUCGUCCUCAAGUAGAAAAAUAUGGAAUUUGUCGUAUUGUUCCACCAUCUUCUUGGAGACCACCAUGUCCUCUAAAGGAGAAGAGCUUUUGGAAAUGUACAGAGUUCAACACCCGAGUUCAACAAGUUGACAAGCUUCAAAAUCGGGAACCCAAAAAAAAACAAACACAACCUCGAGUUCAGAAGAAAAGAAAGAGAAGAAAGAAACUGAGGUUUGGGAUGUCUCAGAAGCGACGUAGCGCUGAGUCUGCAGACCAGGAUGAGAAGUUUGGCUUUCAGUCUGGCUCAGAUUUCACACUAGAGGAGUUCCAGAAAUACGCUGAUAUGUUCAAGGAGCAAUAUUUUGGAAUGAAGGGAAGUGAUGAAAUUUCUCUUUUUGAAAUUAAACAGCACAAAGAAAUGUGGCGACCAUCAGUUGAGGAAAUUGAGGGAGAAUAUUGGCGGAUAGUUGUAUGCCCUGAUGAUGAAGUUGAGGUGGAUUACGGCGCUGAUCUGGACACUGCAAUAUUUAGUAGUGGAUUCCCUAAAUCAUAUCUAUCAGAUGCAAAUAAGCAAGAUCCAUAUGGUUUAUCUUGCUGGAACUUGAAUAAUCUGCGACGACAACCUAGAUCUGUUCUUUCAUUUGAAACUGAGGAUAUAUCUGGUGUUGUGGUCCCUUGGCUUUAUGUUGGGAUGUGUUUCUCAUCAUUUUGCUGGCAUGUGGAAGAUCAUUUCCUUUAUUCUCUGAAUUACAUGCAUUUUGGUGAACAAAAAGUAUGGUAUGGUGUUCCUGGUGAAAAUGCAGUGAAGCUAGAAGAUGCUAUGAGAAGGAACUUGCCAAGACUAUUUGAAGAACAGCCUGAUCUCCUGCAUGAGCUGGUUACACAGUUAUCCCCUUCUGUUCUAAAAUCAGAAGGAAUUCCUGUUUACCGUGUUGUUCAGAAUCCAGGCGAGUUUGUUCUGACAUUACCACGAGCUUACCAUUCUGGGUUCAACUGUGGCUUCAACUGCGCAGAGGCAGUAAAUGUUGCUCCCGUGGACUGGCUGCCCCAUGGACAAUGUGCUGUUGAGCUAUACAGAGAUCAGCGGCGCAAGACAUCAAUAUCACAUGACAAGUUAUUACUUAGAACUGUACAAACAGCUCUCAGACAGGUUUGGGCGAAUCUACACAACUGCAAGAGUGGUCAGAAGGAAUAUAUAUGGCUUGAUACCUGUGGAAAAAAUGGAAUGCUCACAAAUGCAUUUAAGACAAGAAUUAAAAUGGAAGGUGCAGCACGUGAGGCGAAUGCUCGUUUGCAAUGUAAGAAGAUGGAUCAGGAUUAUGAUUCAACGGACCGUGAAUGCUUUUCAUGCUUUUAUGAUCUUCAUUUAUCUGCUGUCAGUUGCCAAUGCUCGCCAAACCGUUUUGCUUGCUUAAAUCAUGCAAAUCUUCUAUGUUCAUGCGAAAUGGAUAGAAAAUUUGUGUUGCACCGAUACAGUAUGGAGGAGUUGAAUGCUCUUGUUGCAGCUCUGGAGGGAGAUCCAGCUGCAGUGUACCAGUGGAAAGAGUAUGAUGUAGGCUUAGUUUGCCAAUCUGCUUCUACGCAGCAGAAGAUGGACUUCAGUAAAAGUGCAAAAUUAUCUGGAUCAAUUAUUGAUGUCAACAUUGAUUGCGGCUUUGAUGGCUGCGAGGACCUUGACAAGUCAGCGGGAUAUCCGCAAGAGAAGGAAGUGCAGAAUAGAUGUGUUAAUCUGAACAUAGAAGGUCCAUCCAGUAGUCCUAGAAUAAAAGAAGAGUUAGUAUGUAGUUCUAGCACAUCAAAUACAACAGGUUUCUCAAGCUCUACAUUUAGUGCUUUAGGAAAGAUUGACAAGGACAAGAUGGCCAUGGAGUUGGGGUCCCUGCAGACAAGUAAUCCAACUAUUUCAAGUUUCCAGUGCACACAGUCCUUGAGUCAUUCAUCUGAAUUAUCAUGCUCUUCUCGAAUAUCAACAGGAUCUACCCUACCUUCCAAAACUACUAAGGAACUGUUUGGCAUUGAGACUGAAUACUGUGUGGCCAAGGCUUCACGUGCCCAGGUUAGUCAACUGGGGAAACCUUCUUCAAGCCAAUCCAAUGAAGUCUCCUGGCCAGCAAAAUUACGACAUCAGGUUGAGCAACUCGACCACGGAACAGUAAUAGUUGGCAAAAAUUGGUGCAACCAUCAAGCUAUCUUCCCAAAAGGAUUUAGGAGCCGAGUGACAUUUCACAGCGUACUAGAUCCGACAAGAAUAUGCUGUUACAUUUCAGAAGUUAUUGAUGCUGGACUUCUCGGACCAUUGUUUAGGGUGGCUGUGGAGGAGUUUCCUGAGGUUUCUUUUACUCACACUUCACCAAUGCAGUGUUGGGAUAGUGUGAGAGACAGGGUGAAUGAAGAGAGAAAAAAGCAAUGUAGGGCUGGAAAAUCUGGCGUUCCUGCUUUAUUAUCGAACGAUUCUGUAAAUGGGCUUGAAAUGUUUGGUUUCAUUUCCCCACCAAUAAUUGAGGUAAUCGAGGCUCUAGAUCCCGACCACAAGUGCUUAGAUUAUUGGUUGUCUAAGCAUACACCUCCUCUGAGAAGACUCCUUUCGGAGUCUUUGAUGACCACAACGGUUGAUGGCACUAAUAAUUCUUCUAUAAGGUUACUUGGGGUUGAUAUUGCCAGCAACGAAUCUGAACGAUCUAGUUUCCACAAUAAUUCAUGUGCUGAAGAGACUAAACUCAGCAGGCUCCUUAAGAAGGCUAAAUGCCCAGAAGAACAAGAACUAAUUGUCAUGAACAAAGCAAUCAGCGGCAGGAUGGAUAACAGGGCAGGUCUGCAGGAUGAGAUGAAGAAUUAUGUAGAUAAAUAGGGCCUUGAAUGGAUAAACCAUUUUUAGUAACUCAUCCUAGAUUGCUUCUCUAGGGAACCAUUAGAAAUUAAACUAGAACCACCAUUUACCUGCAUUCUUAUAGAAUUGCAUUUCCUGAUCUUCCAUUUAGUUUUGCAUGAUCCAAAUUUAUUUUUACUUGAUGGCAAAAGGUUAUUUUCUCUCUAAUUGUGUCCUGAUUAGCCAGGAUCAUGGUAACCAAUGUAACAAGUUGACCAUUCGUUUAUCAAAAGUUUAUGUACAAAACCUUGUUGCAGGAAAGUAAAAAAAAAUGAAGAAAAUGAUUUCGUAUUUUUGAUUGAUU